rnacentral:rRNA from 1 species
GAUGAACGCUGGCGGCGUGCCUAAUACAUGCAAGUCGAGCGAACAGACGAGGAGCUUGCUCCUCUGACGUUAGCGGCGGACGGGUGAGUAACACGUGGAUAACCUACCUAUAAGACUGGGAUAACUUCGGGAAACCGGAGCUAAUACCGGAUAAUAUAUUGAACCGCAUGGUUCAAUAGUGAAAGACGGUUUUGCUGUCACUUAUAGAUGGAUCCGCGCCGCAUUAGCUAGUUGGUAAGGUAACGGCUUACCAAGGCAACGAUGCGUAGCCGACCUGAGAGAGUGAUCGCCCACACUGGAACUGAGCCACGGUCCAGACUCCUACGGGAGGCAGCAGUAGGGAAUCUUCCGCAAUGGGCGAAAGCCUGACGGAGCAACGCCGCGUGAGUGAUGAAGGUCUUCGGAUCGUAAAACUCUGUUAUUAGGGAAGAACAAAUGUGUAAGUAACUAUGCACGUCUUGACGGUACCUAAUCAGAAAGCCACGGCUAACUACGUG